GCCCGGCUAGCUCAAUCGGUAGAGCGUGAGACUCUUAUUCCUUCGAGUCCUACGGACUAGUAAAGACCUGCAAUCUCAAGGCUGUGGGUUCGACCCCCACGUCGGGCU